CUUCGGUGCAGCUUCGUACCCCGUCUCAGCGUGCUUCUUCCCCUACUGCUGCUCCACCUCCUGCUACUGCUACUUCUUCACGUCCUUCUAUGGACAUUUCCGAGGAAGAUAUUUCAGUUUCUUCUGUGUAUCGUGAGCAACAACGUUUAUUUGAGGAGCUUCAGAAAUUGUCUGCGGAGCAAGCUGCGAUACGAAAGGAUGUGAGCAAGAUUAAGCGAUUACUUAAUAUGAUUUUUGACAAGUUAGGGUGUUGCAGAGCAGAUUUACCCCCAGGGGAUGCUUCAGAUUAGAUAUUCAGGUGUUCCUCCGUUUGUCUUUUUGGCGCUUUCUGACAAAAAGGGGGCGAUGAUAUGGAUGAUCUUGAUAUGAAUGAUGGAUAUGAUGGAUGGCUCGAUGAUGAUGAAGCGUUUAGUUUAGAUUUGUUUUAUUUUGGUGCACUUUGCAUAGUUGUGUAAAUGGCUCGAUGAUGCUGAAGUGUUUAGUUUAGAUUUGUUUUAUUUUGGUGCAGUUUGCAUAGUUGUGUAAAUUUUAGUUUAGAUGUUUGCUUAGGUGCUUGACUAUGAACUGACUUGGUACUAUUUUGACGUUUAUGUUUGAUUAUGUUUGAUCUUGAUAAGUAUACUUGAAUCUUGAUUUUCGUUUUAAGAAUGUUUUUGCAGGAAUAAUUCAAGACUUCAAGACUCCAUGUCUAAGUCAUAGAGUCUGUAUUAAGGUUGUAAAAGUGUAAUUUUCAUUUAUUGGAUCGAUCAUGCAGGAGAUUAUCGUUUGGUGAUUGCGAUGAUCUUCUUUUUAUUAUUUAUGAGUUGUGUACGAACUUUGUAA
rnacentral:lncRNA from 1 species